rnacentral:rRNA from 1 species
CCUACGGGAGGCAGCAGUGGGGAAUAUUGCACAAUGGGGGAAACCCUGAUGCAGCGACGCCGCGUGAGUGAAGAAGUAUUUCGGUAUGUAAAGCUCUGUCAGCAGGGAAGAAAAUGACGGUACCUGACCAAGAAGCCCCGGCUAACUACGUGCCAGCAGCCGCGGUAAUACGUAGGGGGCAAGCGUUAUCCGGAUUUACUGGGUGUAAAGGGAGCGUAGACGGGAGGGCAAGUCUGAAGUGAAAGGCGGGGGCUCAACCCCCGUACUGCUCUGGAAACUGCCAGGCUGGAGUGCAGGAGAGGUAAGGGGAAUGCCUAGUGUAGCGGUGAAAUGCGUAGAUAUUAGGAGGAACACCAGUGGCGAAGGCGGCUUACUGGACUGUAACUGACGUUGAGGCUCGAAAGCGUGGGGAGCAAACAGGAUUAGAUACCCCUGUAGUC